rnacentral:rRNA from 1 species
CAGUCGAACGAAGCUUGACGAAUGAUUUCUUCGGAAUGAAAUCUGAUAUGACUGACUGGCGGACGGGUGAGUAACGCGUGAGCAACCUGCCCUUCGGAACGGGAUAGUGUCUGGAAACGGACAGUAAUACCGUAUAACGUAUUUUUACCGCAUGAUAGAAAUACCAAAACUGAGGUGCCGAAGGAUGGGCUCGCGUCUGAUUAGAUAGUUGGUGGGGUAACGGCCUACCAAGUCGACGAUCAGUAGCCGGACUGAGAGGUUGAACGGCCACAUUGGGACUGAGACACGGCCCAGACUCCUACGGGAGGCAGCAGUGGGGAAUAUUGCACAAUGGGGGAAACCCUGAUGCAGCAACGCCGCGUGAAGGAAGACGGUUUUCGGAUUGUAAACUUCUGUUCUUAGUGAAGAAUAAUGACGGUAGCUAAGGAGCAAGCCACGGCUAACUACGUGCCAGCAGCCGCGGUAAUACGUAGGUGGCAAGCGUUGUCCGGAAUUACUGGGUGUAAAGGGAGCGUAGGCGGGAUGCCAAGUCAGCUGUGAAAACUAUGGGCUUAACCUGUAGACUGCAGUUGAAACUGGUAUUCUUGAGUGAAGUAGAGGUUGGCGGAAUUCCGAGUGUAGCGGUGAAAUGCGUAGAUAUUCGGAGGAACACCGGUGGCGAAGGCGGCCAACUGGGCUUUAACUGACGCUGAGGCUCGAAAGUGUGGGGAGCAAACAGGAUUAGAUACCCUGGUAGUCCACACUGUAAACGAUGAUAACUAGGUGUGGGGGGUCUGACCCCUUCCGUGCCGCAGCUAAC